rnacentral:lncRNA from 10 species
GUCAUCUGCAACCCUUUGAGUAGCAGGAUCUUUAUUGGUCUGGAGGCUGGGAAGUCCAAGACCCGAGGGACCUACACCUGGCAAGAGCCUUCUUGUUGCAUCAUUUCAUAGUGGAAGAUGGAAGGGCAAGAAAGAGAAGGGAGGAAGAAGAGCUUUCUCUGGAAAUGAAAUCAAGCAGCUUUCCUUGUAUUGAAAGGUCAACGCACUCAUUUUUCGUAAGAGUAAGGUAAACCAGUGGACUGACUGUUUUGUUGAGUGGCCAUUGGCUAAUUCAGAAGAGAGAAGUUCCAGCCUAGGAGGAUUGAGGAAAGCGACUGAAGACAGAGUGUUCCAAGAACCAAGAGAAUGAAUGUGGCUGAUGUGUGGAGAGAAGAGAUGGACCAAGAUGAGACUGGAAAGGCUACUGCUGGGGCUGUUAACCAAACCCUGAAGAAACUGGGGAUUCAGAAACCGAAAAUAGAUCAAACAACCAACACAAAACAAAACA